GUGCCAGCAGCCGCGGUAAUACGGAGGGAGCUAGCGUUAUUCGGAAUUACUGGGCGUAAAGCGCACGUAGGCGGCUUUGUAAGUAAGAGGUGAAAGCCCAGAGCUCAACUCUGGAAUUGCCUUUUAGACUGCAUCGCUUGAAUCAUGGAGAGGUCAGUGGAAUUCCGAGUGUAGAGGUGAAAUUCGUAGAUAUUCGGAAGAACACCAGUGGCGAAGGCGGCUGACUGGACAUGUAUUGACGCUGAGGUGCGAAAGCGUGGGGAGCAAACAGGAUUAGAUACCCCCGUAGUCC
rnacentral:rRNA from 1 species